rnacentral:misc_RNA from 1 species
UGGGCUCGAACGGCUAGUGACAGGAGAUGAAAGUUUCUUUUCCCGCAAGGGACAUUAGUCGAGGUGCUGCAUGGCUGUCGUCAGCUCGUGUCGUGAGAUGUUGGGUUAAGUCCCGCAACGAGCGCAACCCUCGCCCUUAGUUGCCAUCAUUCAGUUGGGCACUCUAAGGGGACUGCCGGUGAUAAGCCGCGAGGAAGGUGGGGAUGACGUAGCUAAGCCUUC